CAAGGCCAUGGUUCUCCACAGAGGACCUGAGGGAGCCUAGAGCCUGGGGCUGGUUCUAGGGAGGAGCAUUUCACGGACCCUCCAGCUUCCCUUCCUGAGAUGCUGCUUCCCCUCCCUGAGUGUGGGUGAGGGCACUGGGGCUCCCAGCUGAGCACCCGGCCUGCGGGGAAGAUGGGGUCGCAGGUGGGGAGAGACGUGAGCAGGUACUGGCCGCAGAUGAGCAGCUUCUUCACACACCUGUGUGGAAGAAUUGGAGAUCAAUCACUCCAGGCUGGGUUGAGCAAGCUUCCCUCAUCCUUCCUCGGCUUCCCCUCUGCAGGAUGGAGAGGGAAGGAUUGACAAUCACUUAAAUGCUCAUUUCCUUAAUGGUUCUUCCUCUCUCCCAAUCUACAGCCCGCCUGUUCUGUGUCUAUGGCCGGCUUGGCUGGACCGAGGAAGGAGAGGUCCGCUCCCACCCCGGGAUCAGAUGACCAGCUGGGAAGGGGCAACGGAGGACUGUGCAGAGGUGGUAAGCAGUGAAGGAACCCUGGAUCCCCGCCCCUACCACGAUGGCAUCGUAGAGAGCCCUGCCAGGGGCACUGGACACUGCCAUG